rnacentral:rRNA from 1 species
UACAGAGGGUGCUAGCGUUGUUCGGAAUCAUUGGGCGUAAAGGGCGUGUAGGCGGUUUGUUAAGUCAUGUGUGAAAUCCCUCGGCUCAACCGGGGAACGACGCAUGAAACUGGCAAGCUAGAGUACCAAAGAGGGGGGUGGAAUUCCCGGUGUAGCGGUGGAAAUGCGUAGAUAAUCGGGAGGAACACCUGUGGCGAAGGCGGCCCCCUGGUUGGAUACUGACGCUGAUACGCGAAAGCGUGGGGAGCAAACAGG